GUAGGUGGCAAGCGUUGUCCGGAAUUAUUGGGCGUAAAGCGCGCGCAGGCGGUCCUUUAAGUCUGAUGUGAAAGCCCACGGCUCAACCGUGGAGGGUCAUUGGAAACUGGGGGACUUGAGUACAGAAGAGGAAAGCGGAAUUCCAAGUGUAGCGGUGAAAUGCGUAGAGAUUUGGAGGAACACCAGUGGCGAAGGCGGCUUCCUGGUCUGUAACUGACGCUGAGGCGCGAAAGCGUGGGGAGCAAACAGGAUUAGAUACCCUGGUAGUCCACGCCGUAAACGAUGAGUGCUAAGUGUUAGGGGGUUUCCCGCCCCCUUAGUGCUGCAGCUAACGCAUUAAGCACUCCGCCUGGGGGAGUACGGCCGCAAGGCUG
rnacentral:rRNA from 1 species